rnacentral:lncRNA from 1 species
CUCUGAGGGAUUUCAUUGGGUUACGGUUGCCAGGGAAACCAUUUGACUUGGUAAUCAAUAUGUUCAGUAUGUCUCUGUUGCUGUGUGCUUAAUUCCUACUGAUACCAUUGCAGAGUGGAUCCAUGGAAAACACUGGGUAGGAAAAAAAGAAAACCUUGAAAUAUUAGCUUCAAUGAAGGAAAAUCUGGAUAACUUAUUCUUAUGAAUCUGAAACAAUUUAAGAAAACAAAUGACUGCUUGAUUUUUGUGCCAAUUGAAUAGAAUGGGAUUCAAUUUUUAAUAGCAAGUUGGCAUGGCUAAGUAAGGUCCCUGGGAUUCUCUUGCAAUGCCGUGAAAGCAAAAGGACAGCUCUCCUAACAAGAAGCCAAGAUUGCUACAGGAGGCUGAGGAGAGGAAAAAGCCCUUUUCUCAUCACCAUUGAUUCCUUCAGUCUCCAUGAUUUCCUCUCAAGAACUGCCAUUUGUUGCUGUAGAUGGCCCAGUUGCAGACGUGCCUGAGUUCAGCAUAGUGUUGAGGAGAAUCCCAGAGAUCUGAAUCCCAGGAGAAGUCAGCCCAUCCUGCUGUUCGUGGGAAUCUAUAAAGGAGGUGCACAAAGCUCCAGUUGCCCCUGAUUUGAGAGAUGUCUCCAGAGCAGCACUUGUUCCUGGAAAAGUUUGAGAGCCUGUGUCCAAGACGCUCUCCAACUUACUCACUUGGAAGGACUCCAGCUCUCCAUUUAUUCUUUACUGGCCCUGAGCAGUAGAGUAGGCUAAACAAAAACCCACACUUAAGCUGAAGAUGCUCAACUUAAACACAUGACCACUACUUUCAACCUGUGCUUCCAGUAGGAGCACAACAGAAGCUGCUGUGGAUGAAAGUGUGUGGGAGUCUUGGGUUGCACCAAGUCCAAGGGAGUCUCUUGCCUGUGGUUCAGGGGACUUCUGAGAAUGCAUCAAACCUUGGCAUCUUUCCAACACAGCACCAUGAACCACCAAGGAAGGAGAUUGAUCUUCAUCAGAUAUGUUAUGGGCUGGGUACCAUCUCAGAGGCUCCCAGGACUCUCCAUAAACUUCUUGAUAAUCCAGACAAGAGCUACUGCUCAAGUAUCAAGUAUUUAUGGGUCUAAAGUAGCUCACUGCAUGACCUAAGUGCAUCUUCCCAGCAGUGAUGUUAGCAUCAGCUCUUCUAAAUUAACAUGGGUAAGGGGUGUGUCUUAGUCCAUUUUGUGUUGCUAUAAAUAAAUAUAUGAGGCUGAGAAUUGUGUAAAGAAAAGUUUACUUGGCUCAUGGUUCUGCAGGCUGUACAAGAAGCAUGGGGCCAGCAUCUGCUUCUGGUGAGGGCUUCAGGAAGCUUCUACUCAUGGCAGAAGGCAAAGCGAGCCAGCAUCACAUGGCAAGAGAGGAAGCAAGAGAGAGGGAGAAGGCACCAGGCUCUUUUUAACAAUCAGAUCUAAUGAGAACUGACAGAGUAAGAACACACUCACCCCUGAGGGAGGGCACUAAUCUAUUCAUGAGGAAUCCAACCCCUCAACCUAAACACCUUCCACUAGGUCCCAUCUUCAGCAUUGAGGAUCAAAUUUUGACAUGAGAUUUGAAGGGAACAAAUAUCCAAACCAUAUUGGAGUGUGAUCCAAAGGCCUUCAAGGAACAGGAGGUUCAGGUCUGAAACAGGGUGUCCAAGGUCCAGCAGAAGGAGAAUGUGCUGAGGUUCUUCGAGCUCACUGCGCUUCAAGUAUCCACCUCAAUGAGAGGUUUACAUUUCUGGUGCCAUGGCCAGGGCUCUAGUGCUGUCCUAGAUGCCUGUAUUACUCUUGAUAGAAAACAUCCCCAAUAUCCCAAACCUUCUCCAGCCAGUGUCCUUUAAACAAACAAACAGACAACCAAAACAGCCCUUAAAGCAUGAAGCUUCUGCUAAAAAAUUUCAUCAUCAUUAAGACAAGAGCUUGAACAAGAAAGACAAGGAUUUCUAGGCUUAGGCUAUCCUCCUCAUAUUUGCCCUCCACUGGGAUCGACCCUCCCUGACAGGCAAUGAGACUGAAUGACUAGAGGUUCUUUGUAUAAUCUGCAUGUGUCACACCCCUUGUGUUUGCUUGUGGGGCCCUCUACCUUCUAUCCUACCUUCUACCAAUGCUUUAUCCUCCCUGGUUCAUGUCCUACAUAAAACCUUAUGAUAAUGUGUUGCACGUAGUGGGUCUUCAUUAAAUGUUUAUAGAAUGAAGAGAAUUAGGCAAUACCUCUCUUUUCUCUUCAGGUUCACUGCAGUGUCAUUUUGUUGUUUAGUUCAGCCAAUUAAGACUUAAGUUUCUAACUCCUAGACGAUUUUUAUGUAAUGAGGGUUUUUUGGGGGAUUGAGAGGUG